CGAAGCAUGAGCUGUGAUGGGGAAGGAAAUUAAGUACGGAAGUUCCUGAUUUCACGCUGUCAAGAAAAGCCUCUAGGAAGAGUAGUACUGCCCGUACCGCAAACCGACACAGGUAGAUGAGGAGAGAAUCCUAAGGUGAGCGAGAGAACUCUCGUUAAGGAACUCGGCAAAAUGACCCCGUAACUUCGGGAGAAGGGGUGCUCUAUUAGGGUGCAAGCCCGAGAGAGCCGCAGUGAAUAGGCCCAGGCGACUGUUUAGCAAAAACACAGGUCUCUGCAAAACCGUAAGGUGACGUAUAGGGGCUGACGCCUGCCCGGUGCUGGAAGGUUAAGAGGAGUGCUUAGCUUCGGCGAAGGUACGAAUUG
rnacentral:rRNA from 1 species